rnacentral:rRNA from 1 species
UACGUAGGGCGCAAGCGUUGUCCGGAAUUAUUGGGCGUAAAGAGCUCGUAGGCGGCCUGUUGCGUCCGCUGUGAAAUCCCGGGGCUUAACCCCGGGCGUGCAGUGGAUACGGGCAGGCUGGAGGCAGGCAGGGGAGAACGGAAUUCCCGGUGUAGCGGUGAAAUGCGCAGAUAUCGGGAGGAACACCGGUGGCGAAGGCGGGUCUCUGGGCCGAUACUGACGCUGAGGAGCGAAAGCAUGGGUAGCGAACAGG